rnacentral:tRNA from 1 species
ACCACCUCGCCCGGGUCGUUCAGGUUGCCGCUGUCGUCGGAGUGGUGGAUGCGCAUGCCGACCCAGUGGUGCGGCAUCCACUGGGUGGAG